CGCGGGAUGGACACAAUAACGUAAAGAAACAGAAACGACGAUUGCCAGUAGAGAUGGAAGCUCUUUAUGUUCAAUCUGGCUUUGAUAAAUAUGAAUUUAAUAUGUUCACGGGAAAAAGGGAGGUAAAUCCAAAAGCCACAGAGGUAAACCUGGGGGUUUUGGUUACAGCAGAGACAAGUUUGAGAACAAAGCGAAAAUCUAUAAACCAAUCAAAAGUAAAGGACACAACAAGCGGC